GAUGAACGCUGACAGAAUGCUUAACACAUGCAAGUCAACUUGAACUUCGGUUUGGGUGGCGGACGGGUGAGUAACGCGUAAAGAACUUGCCUCACAGAUAGGGACAACAUUUGGAAACGAAUGCUAAUACCUGAUAUUAUGAUUAUAUGGCAUCGUAUAAUUAUGAAAGCUAUAUGCGCUGUGAGAGAGCUUUGCGUCCCAUUAGCUAGUUGGAGAGGUAACGGCUCACCAAGGCGAUGAUGGGUAGCCGGCCUGAGAGGGUGAUCGGCAACAAGGGGACUGAGACAUGGCCCUUACUCCUACGGGAGGCAGCAGUGGGGAAUAUUGGACAAUGGACCAAGAGUCUGAUCCAGCAAUUCUGUGUGCACGAUGAAGUUUUUCGGAAUGUAAAGUGCUUUCAGUUGGGAAGAAAAAAAUGACGGUACCAACAGAAGAAGUGACGGCUAAAUACGUG
rnacentral:rRNA from 1 species